CGGGGAUGUUUCCAUAACCGGCACUUGGCGAAAUUGCGGAUUUGUUUACAUCGGAAGUGAGCGUACGUGCGCCAGAAUAUGGUAACCCUGAUAAUUGUUGCAACCCACACAGGGAAUUUUCCUGAAGGAGGAAAAGGGAAAUUUUCUGUUUACUUUUCGAACAUUACGGUAAGAGAAAAUAAAGUUUGAAAGUCGCAAAUCAUUAUUAGUUCAUAUUUUCGCAAAACGUUUAUGGGGUUUAUUUUUCGAACAUUACGGUAAAAGAAAAUAAAGUUUUUUAUAUUUUCGCAACGAACAUUACGGAUUAUUACGGUUGAACUGCCCUUCAAUGAAAGCUUUUGCUCGAUGUGUGGCCUGUAAUAGCAAUAAAUGGGACUUUUGUGAACUGAAAUCUGUUAGGCUUUCCAAAAUCCAGAAAGCUGAUUAGGUGUGCAGAAGCAGCAGACUUGUAAAUGUGAAGGAGCUAUUUGCUUAGUUAUGCAGUAGAAUUCACCACCCUGCGGCAAGCUUCAUUAAAGCUGUGAACAGCCAAGCUAACCAUCUUCAGGGCAAGUAGCUGCAUCAAGCAAACCCAGUGACAUUCCAAAGAGGAAUGUCAGUCAAAAUAAAAACUUAAUACCUAAAUCUCGGAAAAUCAGACAAUUAAGCCACAAAUCUUGUGACCAAUUUUUCAGUUGCUGUGCUUAGUGCGAUAAAGUUAUAUGGCAAUAAACUGAAAAGCUAUGGCAGGUAUUCUAUUGUACCCUUUAAUGAAAUCAAUUUAAAGCAAGCUUAUCAUAUGAUAAGCAAAAUGAUUGUAUCAUUGGAUGGUAAUGAUUGCAUUGCUGGGUAUGCAGGCUAUGGUUCUACAAUGAGCCAAAUGUAAUAUCUCAGUAUGCUGUGACUAUUAAAAUUAUAAAUUAUGUAUUAUUACUUCAUAUUGGUCAUUAUGUUCCAAAAUAAAUGCUCUUUUUAUAUAGAACUAUAUAAAUGUAGAAAAUCUGAGAAGUUAAUUUUAUAUGGAAAGCCUUCGUGCAAAAUUAAUAGCAUCUUGUUAAUUUCAUAUAUGUUUUGUGAAAGUAAUUGCUGCUGAAUCUAGAAUUAAUGCAUUAUCUGAGAUUUGAGACAAAAUUUGUCAAAUUAGAAGAUAGUGAAAUAGAUAAAUAGGAAAUGAAACAUGAAAUUUAUAUAUUUAAUAUUGAAAUAAAUAUCUCAGUAAAGUGGCUGUAUGUAAAGUAUAAUGAUGCAAUUUUUAUAAUUUUUUACUAAAAUGCUAAAAUUAUGUGCUAUGAAAAUUUUAUUUUCAUUAAUAUUUA